rnacentral:rRNA from 1 species
CCCUAGAUAGCGGCGAGCGAAGCGGGAAGAGCUCAAAUUUAUAAUCUGGCACCUUCGGUGUCGGAGGGAAAUCUCUAGAAAUGUUUUCCGCGUUGGACCGCACACAAGUCUGUUGGAAUACAGCGGCAUAGUGGUGAGACCCCCGUAUAUGGUGCGGACGCCCAGCGCUUUGUGAUACAUUUUCGAAGAGUCGAGUUGUUUGGGAAUGCAGCUCAAAUUGGGUGGUAAAUUCCAUCUAAAGCUAAAUAUUGGCGAGAGACCGAUAGCGAACAAGUACCGUGAGGGAAAGAUGAAAAGCACUUUGGAAAGAGAGUUAACAGUACGUGAAAUUGUUGGAAGGGAAACGCUUGAAGUCAGACUUGCUUGCCGAGCAAUCGGUUUGCAGGCCAGCAUCAGUUUUCCGGGAUGGAUAAUGGUAGAGAGAAGGUAGCAGUUUCGGCUGUGUUAUAGCUCUCUGCUGGAUACAUCUUGGGGGACUGAGGAACGCAGUGUGCCUUUGGCGGGGGUUUCGACCUCUUCACACUUAGGAUGCUGGUGGAAUGGCUUUAAACGACCCGUCUUGAAACAACGGACC